rnacentral:rRNA from 1 species
UAAUACGGAGGGUGCAAGCGUUAUCCGGAUUCACUGGGUUUAAAGGGUGCGUAGGUGGGUUGGUAAGUCAGUGGUGAAAUCUCCGAGCUUAACUUGGAAACUGCCAUUGAUACUAUCAGUCUUGAAUAUUGUGGAGGUUAGCGGAAUAUGUCAUGUAGCGGUGAAAUGCUUAGAUAUGACAUAGAACACCAAUUGCGAAGGCAGCUGGCUACGCAUAUAUUGACACUGAGGCACGAAAGCGUGGGGAUCAAACAGGAUUAGAUACCCUGGUAGUCCACGCCCUAAACUAUGGAUACUCGACAUACGCGAUACACAGUGUGUGUCUGAGCGAAAGCAUUAAGUAUCCCACCUGGGAAGUACGAUCGCAAGAUUG